UACGGAGGGUGCGAGCGUUGUCCGGAAUCACUGGGCGUAAAGGGCGUGUAGGCGGCCGCCUAAGUCUGGCUUUGAAGACCGAGGCUCAACCUCGGGAGUGGGCUGGAGACUGGGGGGCUGGACCUCUGGAGAGAGAACCGGAAUUCCUGGUGUAGCGGUGGAAUGCGUAGAUACCAGGAGGAACACCAACGGCGAAGGCAGGUUCUUGGACAGAAGGUGACGCUGAGGCGCGAAAGUGUGGGGAGCGAACCGG
rnacentral:rRNA from 1 species